GACGAACGCUGGCGGCGCGCCUAACACAUGCAAGUCGAACGGAGUCAAGAGGAGCUUGCUUUUCUUGACUUAGUGGCGAACGGGUGAGUAACGCGUGAGUAACCUGCCCUGGAGUGGGGGACAACAGUUGGAAACGACUGCUAAUACCGCAUAAGCCCACGGAUCUGCAUGGAUCUGCGGGAAAAGGAUUUAUUCGCUCUAGGAUGGACUCGCGUCCAAUUAGCUAGUUGGUGAGGUAACGGCCCACCAAGGCGACGAUUGGUAACCGAACUGAGAGGUUGAACGGCCACAUUGGGACUGAGACACGGCCCAGACUCCUACGGGAGGCAGCAGUGGGGGAUAUUGCACAAUGGGGGAAACCCUGAUGCAGCGACGCCGCGUGGAGGAAGAAGGUUUUCGGAUUGUAAACUCCUGUCGUUAGGGACGAUAAUGACGGUACCUAACAAGAAAGCACCAGCUAACUACGUG
rnacentral:rRNA from 1 species